rnacentral:rRNA from 1 species
UACGAAGGGGGCUAGCGUUGUUCGGAAUCACUGGGCGUAAAGCGCACGCAGGCGGAUUGAUAAGUCGGGGGUGAAAUCCCGGGGCUCAACCUCGGAAUUGCCUUCGAUACUGUCUGUCUUGAGUCCGGGAGAGGUGAGUGGAAUUCCUAGUGUAGAGGUGAAAUUCGUAGAUAUUAGGGAGAACACCAGUGGCGAAGGCGGCUCACUGGCCCGGUACUGACGCUCAUGUGCGAAAGCGUGGGGAGCAAACAGG